rnacentral:rRNA from 1 species
UACGGAGGGUACAAACGUUGCUCGGAAUCACUGGGCAUAAAGCGCGCGUAGGCGGUCCACCCAGUCAGAUGUGAAAGCCCUCGGCUCAACCGGGGAACUGCAUUUGAUACUAGUGGGCUUGAGGAUGGUAGGGGUGUGUGGAACUUCAGGUGGAACGGUGAAAUGUAUUGAUAUCUGAAGGAACACCUGUGGCGAAAGCGGCACACUGGGCCAUUUCUGACGCUGAGGCGCGAAAGCUAGGGUAGCGAAC